GUGCGGCGUGAGGCGUGUGAGGCAGUGCAGCAGGUGUGUGGGGUGAGGUGUGUGGGGGUACAGCAGGUGUGUGUUGUGAGGGGUGUGAGGCAGGUGUGUGGUGUGAGAGGUGUUUCAGGUGUGUGCUGUGAGGGGUGUGAGGCAGUGCAGCAGGUGUGUGGGGUGAGGUGUGUGGGGGUACAGCAGGUGUGUGUUGUGAGGGGUGUGAGGCAGGUGUGUGGUGUGAGAGGUGUUUCAGGUGUGUGCUGUGAGGGGUGUGAGGCAGUGCAGCAGGUGUGUGGCAUGAGGCGUGUGGGGGUAUGGCAGGUGUGUGGUGUGAGGGGUACGGCAGGCGUGCGGCAGGCGUGCGGCGUGAGGCGUGUGAGGCGGUGCGGCGCUCCCACUGCCGGGCCGUCUCUGCGCCCUGCUCCCGGCUCUGUUUCCGCUGAAAGCCAGGCCCACUCCCGCGUCGGGCUGUUCUGGACCGCUCUGCGCUUGGUGGUCCCGCUGCUGCGCCCGCCCCCAUCGGAGGGUGUCUCUGGAGUCUUCUCUGGUCCCUCCCUCCGCGUCUUCGCGGCAGUCCCCAGCCCCCACACCAGGUCCCUCCCGGAUGGCGCUGGUGUGUCCCGUGCUCCCGUCCCUGGAUGGCGCUGGUGUGUCCCGUGCACCCGUCCCUGGAUGGCGCUGGUGUGUCCCGUGCUCCUGUCCUGGGUGCAGAAUGACCUGAGGGUGAGCAGGGGCUGGCGCUCCUGGGACAAGUGCCCCAGCCCUGCACGCCUGAGAACGCACGGAUAGUCCGCGCCCUUGGGAGCCCCAGGUGCCUAACUGCGCAGUGCUGAGCCAGAGGCAGAGGCAGUGUUCAUUCCUGUUUAAAAAUCUCCUCCAUGGAGGAGUGAUAGACACACUGCAAACGUUGUGCGCAGUUUUGGCACAUGUGAGCGCCCACGUGGGCAGGCCCGCACCGUGGGGCUACAUGAGUGUCUCCAGAGCGCCCCCCCCCCGCCCUGGUCAGGCCCAGGUGGCCGCUGGCUUCCCCGGGGCUCCUCCUCAGCAGAGCCAGAGGCGCACCUCUGUGGGUUUCCACUCCGUGGAUGCUGCUGUCCGUCCACCGUGGGAAUCCAUGGCUCCAUCUUGUUAUGGCCAAGUGGGCCUUCCCUGAGUGGCUGCAGUCCGGUUUCUUUUCACUCUUCUCGGUGGACAUUGGAGUGUUUCGAGUUGUGGGCUGUUCUGAACGAGGCUGGCGGGGACACAGGACGCCGGCAUUCGUGUGGACGCUGCCUUCGCCCUCCUUGGGGAUAUCUGGAGGUGGGAUCGCUUUCCGACCAGGUAGAACCUCUGCUCAUCACAGCGCACAUUGAAGAGGUGGGCAUUCCUGAUGGACGUGCCUCAGCGUUCGGGUUCCCAGUGUUGUCCGGCUGCUGGGCCAGCGGGGCUCCCACUGAGACCCUCAGCUGCACUGUCCACUCGCUGAGGCUGAGCACUUGGGCGCACCAGCUGUCUGUCCCUGUGGAGCCGGGUUCUCCACGCCAUCGAGUUCCAGAAUUCUCCUGUUCUCAGCAUGAGGUUUUGGCAGGUUUGCAGCACCAUUCACAGGGAGCACCUGGUGCUUUCUGCUGGCCUUGACCAGGCUCUGUUCCGUCCAGCGAUCCCUUGCCUGUGGCUGGACAUGGCAGCUUUAAGCAGCCGGCGGAAGGGACUCCGAGCGUGUGCGCCCGUUGGAGUCAGGACAGCCUAAUUGAAGGCCCGUCUCCGUCCAGACUCCAGGAAUUACAGCCCAGCGCCGGCACUUUCAUUUCUGAGCUCCUGUUCCGUAAUUAGAGCUUGAGGAAAUGGCACACCGUACGCGGGAGUGAGUCUGCCUGCAGCCGGGACAGUCAUCCUGGAAGGAGGAGGUCCAGAGCUCAGACGCGGAGGCACAGUGCGGGCCCAGAGCGCGUGCCUGCAGGGCGGAGGGUGGCUCCUCUCUGGGGAACUGGUUUCACUGCCCCGAGCACCUGCAGCUGCUGCUGGCUCACGCAGGCCCUGUAUAGAGGGACCACCAGGAGCCACGGGAAGAAGUCCUCGCGGGGUUGUGGAGGGACGCGGUGUGGUCAGAGCAGAGGACUGGUCGACGCCCACCCGGGCAGGCCCCUCUGCUGUGUCCCUUCCUUCCCCUCCCUCUGCCUGUCUUCCGCACACUGCUCCCAGUGCCCUCAGCCCCAAGCCCUGUGGACUAGAGGCAGAGCUGGCCCAGCCACUGCUGAGGCAGAAGGACCGUGACCUGGGGACUGGGCUGACGUAAAAGUCCCUGAAAAUUCACUGCAGACGGGUCCUGUGCUGCAGCAGGUUAUGCCGGUGCUCAGGAUGCCCACAUCGCAUGUAGGGGUGACUGUUCAAGCCCCAGCUGCUCCACUUCCAGUCCGGCUCCUGCUCCGUGGACGAUGGCCCAAGGACUGAGGUCCCUGCCACCCAUCUGUGAGACCCAGAUGGGGUCCUGGCUCCUGGCUUUGGCUUGGCCCAGCCCCGGCUGCUGCACAUUUGGGGAAUGAACCUGUAGAUGGAAGAUGGGUCUCUCCCCCCCCCUCCCCACCUCCUUCUCCCUCCC